AUUCAUUUUUCUAAUUCUAUUUAAAGGCUGAACAUUAAGAUUUCCACAAGUUACAGACCCUCCAAAAGCAAAACCCCUCAUUUGCUCAUUGUUAACUUUGAGGAAAGUGCCUUUUUUUUUUAAGAUAAUCCUGUUGUAAGUGACCAGCUCUUCCCUUCACAUCUCUUCCUGCCUGUUGUGGUUUAACCCCAGUAGGUAGCUAAGCUCCAUACAGCUGCUAACUCACUCCCUGAAAGUGGGAUAGGGGAGAGAAUUAGAAGGAUUGUUAAUGAAGACGUUAAAUAAACAGGACCAAACAGUGAUCCCUGCAGAGCUCCACCAGACACCUCCCACCAACUUGAUACAUUGCCAUUUUUCAUUACCCUUUAUUUGCACUCAGCCAGCCAUUUUUAAAUCCAAGUGACAGUACUCCAUGUCCAAGCCAAUUUGAAUUAAUUUUGCAAGUAGAGAUUUUGUAAGACACUACAUCAAGUGUUUUACUCAGACCAGAUAUAUUACACAUGCUUUCAUCCACUAAUUUUCUAAAGCUAUCAGAAAAAGCAAUCAAGCUUUGAAGAUUACUG